AUACGUAGGGGGCGAGCGUUAUCCGGAAUUAUUGGGCGUAAAGAGUACGUAGGUGGUUUCCUAAGCGAGGGGUUUAAGGCACUGGCUUAACCAAUGUUCGCCCCCCGAACUGGGGAACUUGAGUGCUGGAGAGGAAAGCGGAAUUCCUAGUGUAGCGGUGAAAUGCGUAGAUAUUAGGAGGAACACCAGUGGCGAAGGCGGCUUUCUGGACAGUAACUGACACUGAGGUACGAAAGUGUGGGGAGCAAACAGGAUUAGAUACCCUGGUAGUCCACACCGUAAACGAUGAGCACUAGGUGUCGGGCUCGCAAGAGUUCGGUGCCGCAGUUAACGCAUUAAGUGCUCCGCCUGGGGAGUACGUACGCAAGUAUGAAACUCAAAUGAAUUGGCGGGG
rnacentral:rRNA from 1 species